ensembl:snRNA U1 U1 spliceosomal RNA
AUACUUACCUGGCAGGGGAGACAUCAUGAUCAUGAAGGUGGUUUUCCCAGGGUGAGGCUUAUUCAUUGCACUCCGGAUGUGCUGACCCCUGCGAUUUCCCCAAAUGUGGGAAACUCAACUGCACAAUUUGUGGUAGUGGGGGAAAAAAAAAAAACUAAUCAUGCUCAUA